GAGGAUGUCCGGCCACGCUGGAACUGAGACACGGUCCAGACACCUACGGGUGGCAGCAGUCGAGAAUCAUUCACAAUGGGGGAAACCCUGAUGGUGCGACGCCGCGUGGGGGAAUGAAGGUCUUCGGAUUGUAAACCCCUGUCAUGUGGGAGCAAAUUAAAAAGAUAGUACCACAAGAGGAAGAGACGGCUAACUCUGUGCCAGCAGCCGCGGUAAUACAGAGGUCUCAAGCGUUGUUCGGAAUCACUGGGCGUAAAGCGUGCGUAGGCGGUUUCGUAAGUCGUGUGUGAAAGGCGGGGGCUCAACCCCCGGACUGCACAUGAUACUGCGAGACUAGAGUAAUGGAGGGGGAACCGGAAUUCUCGGUGUAGCAGUGAAAUGCGUAGAUAUCGAGAGGAACACUCGUGGCGAAGGCGGGUUCCUGGACAUUAACUGACGCUGAGGCACGAAGGCCAGGGGAGCGAAAGGGAUUAGAUACCCCUGUAGUCCUGGCAGUAAACGGUGCACGCUUGGUGUGCGGGGAAUCGACCCCCUGCGUGCCGGAGCUAACGCGUUAAGCGUGCCGCCUGGGGAGUACGGUCGCAAGAUUAAAACUCAAAGAAAUUGACGGGGACCCGCACAAGCGGUGGAGUAUGUGGCUUAAUUCGAUGCAACGCGAAGAACCUUACCUGGGCUUGACAUGUAAUGAACAACAUGUGAAAGCAUGCGACUCUUCGGAGGCGUUACACAGGUGCUGCAUGGCCGUCGUCAGCUCGUGUCGUGAGAUGUUUGGUUAAGUCCAGCAACGAGCGCAACCCCUGUUGCCAGUUACCAGCACGUAAAGGUGGGGACUCUGGCGAGACUGCCCAGAUCAACUGGGAGGAAGGUGGGGACGACGUCAGGUCAGUAUGGCCCUUAUGCCCAGGGCUGCACACGUACUACAAUGCCCAGUACAGAGGGGGCCGAAGCCGCGAGGCGGAGGAAAUCCUAAAAACUGGGCCCAGUUCGGACUGUAGGCUGCAACCCGCCUACACGAAGCCGGAAUCGCUAGUAAUGGCGCAUCAGCUACGGCGCCGUGAAUACGUUCCCGGGUCUUGUACACACCGCCCGUCACAUCAUGGAAGCCGGUCGCACCCGAAGUAUCUGAAGCCAACCGCAAGGAGGCAGGGUCCUAAGGUGAGACUGGUAACUGGGAU
rnacentral:rRNA from 1 species